rnacentral:rRNA from 1 species
UGGGGAAUUUUGGACAAUGGGGGAAACCCUGAUCCAGCCAUCCCGCGUGUGCGAUGAAGGCCUUCGGGUUGUAAAGCACUUUUGGCAGGAAAGAAACGUCAUGGGUUAAUACCCCGUGAAACUGACGGUACCUGCAGAAUAAGCACCGGCUAACUACGUGCCAGCAGCCGCGGUAAUACGUAGGGUGCAAGCGUUAAUCGGAAUUACUGGGCGUAAAGCGUGCGCAGGCGGUUCGGAAAGAAAGAUGUGAAAUCCCAGAGCUCAACUUUGGAACUGCAUUUUUAACUACCGGCCUAGAGUGUGUCAGAGGGAGGUGGAAUUCCGCGUGUAGCAGUGAAAUGCAUAUAUAUGCGGAGGAACACCGAUGGCGAAGGCAGCCUCCUGGGAUAACACUGACGCUCAUGCACGAAAGCGUGGGGAGCAAACAGG